GGUGUGCGGCCAGCCAUGGAGCGCUCUGGGCCCAGCGAAGUGACAGGCUCAGACGCAUCGGGACCGGACCCGCAGCUUGUGGUCACCAUGGGCUUCACGGGGUUCGGGGUUCGGUAAAAAAGCUCACACAUUUGACUUGGAAGCAAUGUUUGAACAAACUCAAAGAACAGCUGUGGAAAGAAGUCACAAAACACUGGGGCUGGUGAAUUACCAGAUCUCCAUCAAGUGCAGUAACCAGUUCAAGUUGGAAGUGUGUCUUUUGAAUGCAGAAAACAAAGUCGUGGACAACCAGGCUGGGACCCAGGGCCAGCUGAAGGUGCUGGGUGCCAACCUCUGGUGGCCGUACCUGAUGCACGAACACCCCGCCUACCUGUACUCGUGGGAGGAUGGUGAUUGCUCACACCAAAGCCUUGGACCCCUCCCAGCCUGUGACCUUUGUGACCAACGUCACCUAUGCAGCAGACAAGGGGGCUCUGUAUGUGGAUGUGAUCCGUGUGAACAGCUACUACUCUUGGUAUCGCAACUACGGGCACCUGGAGUUGAUUCAGCUGCAGCUGGCCACCCAGUUUGAGAAUUGGUGUAAGACAUCACAAUCCCAUUAUUCAGAGCGCGUAUGGAGUGGAAACGCUUGUAGGGUUUCACCAGUUCUGCAGGCUGGAAAUCCAAGAUGAAGUCACCUGUAGUUCAGUGUCUGCGUCUAAGAGAGCACUUUGUUGCUGCACCCGCCAGAGGGAAGAAAUACUGUAUCUUCUCAUGAAGGAAGGAACCGAAGGUGGGAAUAGGGACCAACCUCCCUCUUUCAAGCCUUUUUGUAGUGACAUUAAUUCAUUUAUGAGGAUUCCACCAUCAUGACAUAAUCAUUUCCCAAAGGAUUUCACCUCCUCCCACUGUUGCAUUGGGGAUUAAUUUUCCAACACAUGAAUUUUGAGGGACACAUUCAAACCAUAGCAACUGGUAUAUAGUAACUAGGUGGCC
rnacentral:lncRNA from 1 species